AACGAACGCUGGCGGCAUGCCUAACACAUGCAAGUCGAACGAAACCUUCGGGUCUUUUCUCGCACGACUGCGUCACGCGUCGGAACCUGCCCUUAUGGUCGAAAUAACUCCCCGACAGGGGUGCUAAUACCGGAUAAGAUCUUCUAACCAAAGAUUUAUCGCCUUUGAUUGUUCCCUCGUUGGAUUAGCUAGUUGUUAGGGUAAAAGCCUACCAAGGCGAGCAUCCAUAGCUGGUCUGAGAGACAGAUCAGCCACACUUGGACUGAGAAACGGCCCAGACUCCUACGGGAGGCAGGAGUGGGGAACAGUGCAAAAUGGGGGAAAGGCUGAUGCAGCAAUGAUGGGUGAGUGAUGAAGGCAUUAGAGUUGUAAAGUUUAUUUAACUGGGAUGAUAAUGACAGUACCGGGACAAUAAGCCCCGGCUAACUACGUG
rnacentral:rRNA from 1 species